AGAGAGGGAGGGAGAGAGAGGGAGAAAUUUAACUAAGAGCAAGUACAUUAUAUAUACAGUAACUGUCUUCAGUGCUAAAUUUAGAAUAAAUCAAAUGUAACUAAGAGCAAGUACAAUAUAUAUAUAUAUAUAUAUAUAUAUAUAUAUAUAUAUAUAUAUUGUGAAGGAAAGUGCAGCAACGCCUUUAAGGAAUGGCGUUGCAGGAACAAAAACUACAUAACUCCAAUUGGUAGGGAGGGGUUACUGUGUUUAUGAGGAAGCAGAACAGAACAACGAGGGGUGUGUGUGAGGGGCGAUGUGUGAUCGUGGGGAGCACUGCCAGAUUGUCCUGCCUAUAGAUACCUGCUCUGGUGCUUGGAAGUUUUGGGAAGCCAAGCUGGGGUCAGAGUGCAGGGUCAGCCAUGAUAUGGCACCCCUGGAGCAGAUAGGGUCAAGGGCCUUGCUCAAGGACCCAGCAGUGGCAUCUUGGUGGUGCUGGGGCUUGAACCCCUGACCUUUUGAUCAGUAACCCAGAGCCUUAACCACUGAGCAACCACUGCCUGGUGUUAAUGCAUUCUGAGGAGUAUUUAAUCUGUGUUUUAUUCGAGUGAGUGUGGAGUAUUGAAUGUGAUGGUAUGUGUUAGCCAAGCCAAGCCAAGCCAAGCCAAGCCAAGCCAAGCCAAGCCAAGCCAAGCCAAGCCAAGCCAAGCCAAGCCAAGCCAAGCCAAGCCAAGCCAAGCCAAGCCAAGCCAAGCCAUAGUCUA